rnacentral:rRNA from 1 species
AACGAACGCUGGCGACAUGCCUAACACAUGCAAGUCGAACGAAGGCUUCGGCCUUAGUGGCGCACGGGUGCGUAACGCGUGGGAAUCUGCCCCUCGGUUCGGAAUAACAGUUAGAAAUGACUGCUAAUACCGGAUGAUGACUUCGGUCCAAAGAUUUAUCGCCGAGGGAUGAGCCCGCGUAAGAUUAGGUAGUUGGUGGGGUAAAGGCCUACCAAGCCGACGAUCUUUAGCUGGUCUGAGAGGAUGAUCAGCCACACUGGGACUGAGACACGGCCCAGACUCCUACGGGAGGCAGCAGUGGGGAAUAUUGGACAAUGGGCGAAAGCCUGAUCCAGCAAUGCCGCGUGAGUGAUGAAGGCCUUAGGGUUGUAAAGCUCUUUUACCGGGGAUGAUAAUGACAGUACCUGGAGAAUAAGCUCCGGCUAACUCCGUGCCAGCAGCCGCAGUAA